AAGCUAAAAUUUAUUAUAGAAACUAAUAGGCACAUGAAUAGUAAAACUGAACAGCGUGUUGGACGUGCACGUAGCCUCGACCACUAGCACUAUCACUUAAGAAUUUAUGUUCCGAAUGAAAAGGACAAUAGAGGCCUCUAUUAAUCAAAUUAUACUUAUUCUAGUCAAUAUUCCCUCAACUUGGGAAUGCUAAAAGUACAUAUGGGCCCCUACACCUUUCGUCUACUUGUCUCAGUUCGCCGUUGCGCAUCUUGCACUUGACUGUGUGUCGAAGUGUCACCCAAGCAGCCAAUCAGAGUGCAUGUAGCGCCUGACCAUGUAUGUAGAGCUGAGGGCUUACCGCGAACCACGUUCGACGUGUUGUCUCCCUGUCACACUUGCGUACAAAUUUACAAGUGCGACGGAGAGGCGGUUCGCGGUAGGCCUUCUGGUGUUCAAGAGUAAUUUUUCGGCUGUCUUGGGUCGUCCAGGACGCUGGGAUGGGUCUGGCCAACUGGGUCUUGUAAUAACCACCGUGCCCGACCCACCACACUGUGCUCUGCUCAGUUUCGUGCCGUGGCUGUGUUAGACUCAGGUAUUCGGACUCCGAUUAUAGAAAAGGCAAAAUGAUGGCUCAAUGUCUGUUUUCUCUCACUGCGACAUGAGAUUCAGAUUUAAGAUUAAUUUCUCAGCACAAACGAAUAGUGCACAAGUUUUAGUGAACCCUUUUUAAAUGUUGUAAUCUUGUACUUUUAUAUGUACUUUUUUUUUAAGACAUCCGGGAUCCGGCCAGUCCUAUUUAGGCCUCAGUAGUAUAGCACAUAGUAAUAGGCCUAAUAUAAUGUAAUUAUAAUGCACUGUUUUCAAGACUGUACGGUUUUUCAUGAUGGGUACGACCAUGACCGGAUAAACCUUUAAACAGGGAGAUGUCCUUUGUAAGCUCGCCGCUACUUGCAAUAUGCCCGAAAAUGUAAUCUAGUCAUUAUAAGAAAAACUAUAUUUGACCUAGUUUAUAAUUCAAAUUUAAACCAAAGACUAGGAAAGUAACAAAAAAUGCAAACUGUUUAAAUAUUGUUAUUAUCAACUGAAAACUGACUGCUUUGUGGGACAAGUAAAAAAGUACAAAUAAAAUGAUGUGCACGAACUGGUAAAGUAAGCACAAAGAAUAUCAUACAGUGACCCGCCAUUUUUUAUCUCUAUCGUAUAAUAGGGUAUAUGACUACUGGUCAAACCAGUUUCUUUUUCGAACUGUCAACUUGCUUGCUUGGCACUACUAUGGAAUUUAUAUGAAACACUAGCAUGUGACGUCACAAUCAAAUUACCUACUCUUUAUAGUUUUAUACCGGUUCUAAAAUAGAAAUUGUAUCUUAAAAUAACUGCUGACUAUGUUACUCUAUUAAUCUUUUGGUGCUUUAUUUCAUGCAUGGUGUAAAAUAAUUUAUUUCAAAUACAGUGAAAUACCCUAUAGUACCUAAUGGAAGGAAAUUUGUUUAGUUCUAAGCAUUUUAGUUUAAGUAUUAAUUGUAAAUUAAAACUUGAAACAAUUUAUGUAAAGUAACGGCGAGAAACAUGUGGCAUCGGGUCUAACACAGCAAAGUACAAUGUCUCGUCUAAGCCCUUGUUCAUAUACUACCUAUAUUAUUUAACAAUGCUCAGAUACCGUCAUAGAGUAAAAUCCGAUGAUGCAGAAUUAUAAAGAUCGGUAUUUAAGAUAAUUUGUCACUUUACCGUUGUCUGGUUUAGAUAAAGCUUUGGCACCAUGUGCAUAAAGUUAGAAUGACAAAAAACAAAACCCAAAAAUCUGAGCAUUGUUACAUAAUAUUUCGAAUCGGUAAAUCACAGAUACUGAUUCCAUAAAUAUAUGUACAUUAUAAGGGCAUCUAGUCACUACACAGUUUCUUAACUGUGUUUUAAGACGACGACCAAAUUGAGCCAGCAUAGCGCACACAGCUAGCUAUAUGUUUCAGUCUUGAUAUAUAGUCGUGCCCAGGUCGGGAUCAAACCGCCAAUGGGUUGCAAUAACGACCCUACCUGUAAAUAGUCUCAGUAUAAUAUUAAUUAAUUUAAACGGGUACUAAUUUUGUAUAUAGUUAGGUUAAGGUAAGUAGGUGCGCCGUGGCAACUUCACUGGUCCACCGCUCUCCAAACUUGUCACUACGACGAUAUGUCACUACACAAAACAGUCACUACAACGCACGUCAUGACUUAUGUCACUACACACUUAGUCACAAUCAACGCCUUUGAACGCGGGCGGUACACAACAUGACAUACAUAUAUUUCAGUCAUCAAGUCAAGUGCUUGUCAUUAUACAUUCCGAUUAUUACCAUUUGACUUCCAAGUUAUCGUCAAUGCUUAUUGCAUAAAUAAGAACCUUAGAGUACAAAAGAAAUACUUAAUAAGUUCCAUAAGAAAUUCUUUAGCAGUCAAACCUUUUGGCUUUAACUGUCAGAGCAAUAAGUAUAAUAGUUACUUAUAAUAUAUCUUGAAAAUAGUCAUUACCAUGAACGUAAUUCAACUCAUUCAACAUAACUUUUAUGUUAUAACAAAAUAAUCAUAUUUAUAUAAGCAGAAAAAGUCAGUAGGUAAACAAUGCAUUUGGGUCCAAAUUAUUUUUGUUGUCUUAUUUUUGAUCGCUUUGUCACAGUUUGACUGAAAACAAAUUUAAGAAGCCAUUGUUAAAGUAUGAUUUUUGUUUUACGUAGUACGGCAUAUAUUCUCUUACCGAAAACUCCGCCUGGUCGAAUUUUUAGGCAAAAAAACCAUGACGCCUAAAUAAUUUCGACUCACCUACUUCAUAACACCUCGGCAGGAAAUUUGUCCUUACUCUUAAAUCCUAUUGGCUGUGUGCGAUGUGCCCGGUGGGAUAUAUCAUAUGCCUAGUCGUUAAUAGAGUAUUUAUGACAUAACCUAAUGUCCAUAUAGCCAAUACAAAUAUAAUGUGUAGGUGUAACCAUUAGCCAACCAAGUUUUCUGACCUUAAAUUAUCAAAUUGAAUCCACAAUUUCAUUUCACAAACAUCACAAUCACGAACUAUCCUUACACUGCCCAAUGACGUCGUGAUUUCAUGACGAAUAUCACGACGUCAAGUCGUCACCUACACGAUACGUCACAACAUCAUGAUACGUCAUGUCACAACAUGUCAAGUCACAAGUGGUCCCCCGGCGCACCGCGCAUCAACCCUCUAGUUAGAAGCAAUAAAGGUGGACCAAUCAAGUUUGCCUGAUGGAAGGUCAACGAAUAAAUCUGUUCAUGUA